rfam:Myotis lucifugus cont2.4042, whole genome shotgun sequence.
CACGUUUUAUUUAAGACCCAAGAUGGCGGCGUCCGCUCCGUGCCAAAAUACGGCCUGGGUACCAGGUGUGGAAAGGCGUCCAAAGGACGAAUUUACUGAGGAAAGUGGUGAAACUGGACAGUUUUUGUGUUGUGG